UACGUAGGGUGCAAGCGUUGUCCGGAAUUAUUGGGCGUAAAGAGCUUGUAGGCGGUUUGUCGCGUCUGCUGUGAAAUUUCGGGGCUCAACCCCGAACUUGCAGUGGGUACGGGCAGACUAGAGUGUGGUAGGGGAGACUGGAAUUCCUGGUGUAGCGGUGGAAUGCGCAGAUAUCAGGAGGAACACCAAUGGCGAAGGCAGCUCGCUGGGACGGUACUGACGCUGAGGUGCGAAAGCGUGGGGAGCGAACAGG
rnacentral:rRNA from 1 species